rnacentral:rRNA from 1 species
CUGGUGCCAGCAGCCGCGGUAAUUCCAGCUCUAAUAGCGUAUAUUAAUAUUGUUGCAGUUAAAAAGCUCGUAGUUGAAAUUUGGGGACUUUAUUAUAUUGGUUUAUCUUUUGAUGAACUGUAUAAUGGGUUUCUUCCUACUAGAGUUCGAUUCUGUUCUUAACUGAAUGGAGUAGCUAUCUUUCGGGGUGGUCAAUUGGUUGUUAUAUCUCCACUAAUAAGCAGAGAGGGGUUAAACCUUUGAAGUAAGUUAUGUGGAUCAAGGUAUGAUGAUUAAUUGGAGUUCUAGUUCAUUUACUUUGAGAAAAUUAGAGUGUUUAAAGCAGCCUCUUGGGGCACUGAAUACAUUAGCAUGGGAUAAUAAAAUAGGAUCUUCACAAUAUAUUUAUUGGUUUAAAUUGCGUAUGAAGAUAAUGAUUAAUAGGG